UCCCGCGUAGCUCAAUCGGCAGAGCGUCCGGCUGUUAACCGGCAGGUUGAAGGUUCGAGUCCUUCCGCGGGAG
rnacentral:tRNA from 1 species